GGAAUCAGGUGGCGGGGGUUGCUACACCCUGUCCCGGGGCGUCAGCGGACAUGGAUGUCCGCUGCCGAGCUGCCAUGGAUGGCGCUUUUUGCGACCCCGGGACAGGGUGUAGCAACCCCCGACGCCGGGCUAC
rfam:Haliea rubra DSM 19751 genomic scaffold scaffold28, whole genome shotgun sequence.